UGACGCUGGCGGCAGGCCUAACACAUGCAAGUCGAGCGGAUGAGUGGAGCUUGCUCCAUGAUUCAGCGGCGGACGGGUGAGUAAUGCCUAGGAAUCUGCCUGGUAGUGGGGGACAACGUUUCGAAAGGAACGCUAAUACCGCAUACGUCCUACGGGAGAAAGUGGGGGAUCUUCGGACCUCACGCUAUCAGAUGAGCCUAGGUCGGAUUAGCUAGUUGGUGAGGUAAAGGCUCACCAAGGCGACGAUCCGUAACUGGUCUGAGAAGAUGAUCAGUCACACUGGAACUGAGACACGGUCCAGACUCCUACGGGAGGCAGCAGUGGGGAAUAUUGGACAAUGGGCGAAAGCCUGAUCCAGCCAUGCCGCGUGUGUGAAGAAGGUCUUCGGAUUGUAAAGCACUUUAAGUUGGGAGGAAGGGCAGUAAGUUAAUACCUUGCUGUUUUGACGUUACCAACAGAAUAAGCACCGGCUAACUUCGUGCCAGCAGCCGCGGUAAUACGAAGGGUGCAAGCGUUAAUCGGAAUUACUGGGCGUAAAGCGCGCGUAGGUGGUUCCUUAAGUUGGAUGUGAAAGCCCCGGGCUCAACCUGGGAAAUGCAUCCAAAACUGGCUAGCUAGAGUAUGGCAGAGGGUGGUGGAAUUUCCUGUGU
rnacentral:rRNA from 2 species